rnacentral:tRNA from 1 species
GGCAGCGUAGCUCAAUGGUAGAGCACAGCGUCUGUUUACACAGCGUCAUAGCGUUUGUUUACACAGCGUUGCGUGUGGGUUCGAAUCCCACCGCUGCCA